CGAACGAAAACCGACUGGUGAAUAUGGUGAAUGCAAGUUUUAAGCGGAUAUUUGAAAAGCUGGAGACGAUGGACAAGAGAUUGGUUAAGAUGGAGGCGGACAUGGAUGAGCUCAAAGAGGCAAGAGAGGAGCCUGCUUCGAAGAAAUUAAAGGGGGCUAGGAAUAAAUCUGUUGCGUCUAUCCUCCCCCCACAACCUCGAGGUCACAACCUAUCUCUUUAAUGGCGUCUCCAUGGCUGUACCGGACAUAGAUCCUGCUGUUGUUAAAGCAUCCUGCAAGACAUAUUUUGAAACUGUUCGAAGGGGUUACAGGAUGGCCCAAGAUGAGAACAAAGAGAAGAUGGAG